AUUGAACGCUGGCGGCAGGCCUAACACAUGCAAGUCGAACGAGUGGCGGACGGGUGUGUAAUGUCUGGGAAACUGCCUUAUGGCGGGGGAUAACUACUGGAAACGGUAGCUAAUACCGCAUACCAUCGGAUGUUCCCAGAUGGGGUUAGCUAGUAGGUGGGGUAACGGCUCACCUAGGCGACGAUCCCUAGCUGGUCUGAGAGGAUGACCAGCCACACUGGAACUGAGACACGGUCCAGACUCCUACGGGAGGCAGCAGUGGGGAAUAUUGCGCAAUGGGCGCAAGCCUGAUGCAGCAAGGCCGCGUGUAUGAAGAAGGCCUUCGGGUUGUAAAGUACUGUCAGCGGGGAGGCGUUACCCGCAGAAGAAGCACCGGCUAACUCCGUGCCAGCAGCCGCGGUAAUAC
rnacentral:rRNA from 1 species